GACGAACGCUGGCGGCGUGCCUAAUACAUGCAAGUCGAACGAACUCUGGUAUUGAUUGGUGCUUGCAUCAUGAUUUACAUUUGAGUGAGUGGCGAACUGGUGAGUAACACGUGGGAAACCUGCCCAGAAGCGGGGGAUAACACCUGGAAACAGAUGCUAAUACCGCAUAACAACUUGGACCGCAUGGUCCGAGUUUGAAAGAUGGCUUCGGCUAUCACUUUUGGAUGGUCCCGCGGCGUAUUAGCUAGAUGGUGAGGUAACGGCUCACCAUGGCAAUGAUACGUAGCCGACCUGAGAGGGUAAUCGGCCACAUGGGACUGAGACACGGCCCAAACUCCUACGGGAGGCAGCAGUAGGGAAUCUUCCACAAUGGACGAAAGUCUGAUGGAGCAACGCCGCGUGAGUGAAGAAGGGUUUCGGCUCGUAAAACUCUGUUGUUAAAGAAGAACAUAUCUGAGAGUAACUGUUCAGGUAUUGACGGUAUUUAACCAGAAAGCCACGGCUAACUACGUGCCAGCAGCCGCGGUAAUACGUAGGUGGCAAGCGUUGUCCGGAUUUAUUGGGCGUAAAGCGAGCGCAGGCGGUUUUUUAAGUCUGAUGUGAAAGCCUUCGGCUCAACCGAAGAAGUGCAUCGGAAACUGGGAAACUUGAGUGCAGAAGAGGACAGUGGAACUCCAUGUGUAGCGGUGAAAUGCGUAGAUAUAUGGAAGAACACCAGUGGCGAAGGCGGCUGUCUGGUCUGUAACUGACGCUGAGGCUCGAAAGUAUGGGUAGCAAACAGGAUUAGAUACCCUGGUAGUCCAUACCGUAAACGAUGAAUGCUAAGUGUUGGAGGGUUUCCGCCCUUCAGUGCUGCAGCUAACGCAUUAAGCAUUCCGCCUGGGGAGUACGGCCGCAAGGCUGAAACUCAAAGGAAUUGACGGGGGCCCGCACAAGCGGUGGAGCAUGUGGUUUAAUUCGAAGCUACGCGAAGAACCUUACCAGGUCUUGACAUACUAUGCAAAUCUAAGAGAUUAGACGUUCCCUUCGGGGACAUGGAUACAGGUGGUGCAUGGUUGUCGUCAGCUCGUGUCGUGAGAUGUUGGGUUAAGUCCCGCAACGAGCGCAACCCUUAUUAUCAGUUGCCAGCAUUAAGUUGGGCACUCUGGUGAGACUGCCGGUGACAAACCGGAGGAAGGUGGGGAUGACGUCAAAUCAUCAUGCCCCUUAUGACCUGGGCUACACACGUGCUACAAUGGAUGGUACAACGAGUUGCGAACUCGCGAGAGUAAGCUAAUCUCUUAAAGCCAUUCUCAGUUCGGAUUGUAGGCUGCAACUCGCCUACAUGAAGUCGGAAUCGCUAGUAAUCGCGGAUCAGCAUGCCGCGGUGAAUACGUUCCCGGGCCUUGUACACACCGCCCGUCACACCAUGAGAGUUUGUAACACCCAAAGUCGGUGGGGUAACCUUUUAGGAACCAGCCGCCUAAGGUGGGACAGAUGAUUAGGGUG
rnacentral:rRNA from 1 species